rnacentral:rRNA from 1 species
GUGUCAGCAGCCGCGGUAAUACAGAGGGUGCAAGCGUUAAUCGGAUUUACUGGGCGUAAAGCGCGCGUAGGCGGCUAAUUAAGUCAAAUGUGAAAUCCCCGAGCUUAACUUGGGAAUUGCAUUCGAUACUGGUUAGCUAGAGUGUGGGAGAGGAUGGUAGAAUUCCAGGUGUAGCGGUGAAAUGCGUAGAGAUCUGGAGGAAUACCGAUGGCGAAGGCAGCCAUCUGGCCUAACACUGACGCUGAGGUGCGAAAGCAUGGGGAGCAAACAGGAUUAGAAACCCGGGUAGUCC